rnacentral:rRNA from 1 species
CCUACGGGUGGCAGCAGUGGGGAAUAUUGGGCAAUGGGCGCAAGCCUGACCCAGCAACGCCGCGUGAAGGAAGAAGGCUUUCGGGUUGUAAACUUCUAGUGGCAGGGAAGAGGAGAAGACGGUACCUGACGAAUAAGCCACGGCUAACUACGUGCCAGCAGCCGCGGUAAUACGUAGGUGGCAAGCGUUGUCCGGAUUUACGGGGUGGAAAGGGCGGGUAGCCGGGUUGACAAGUCAGAUGUGAAAUCCUGCGGCUUAACCGCAGAACUGCAUUUGAAACUGUUGAUCUUGAGUACUGGAGAGGCAGCUGGAAUUCCUCUUGUAGCGGUGAAAUGCGUAGAUAUUAGGAGGACCACCAGUGGCG